UUAAGGCGCAUUGACAGGGAGAAUACGCAGUCAUUAACGGCACAGGCCUGGGGUGUAAUUACAUUUUGCCGAGGUCAUUAAUCUCCUGCAACCACCUGGGUGUACCCCCGAGGCCCGGAGUAGUGACAGAGGGUCCACUAGGGCACCGCCAGCCACAGAGCGGAGAAGCAGGAGGAGAAUAAAUACAGAAAAAUCAGCGCAAAAAGAGACUUUACCACAAA